ensembl:ncRNA lncRNA:CR44964 long non-coding RNA:CR44964
GCUGCUAUAUGUAUAUAUAUUUUCUUGUUCGAUCUGUCGAUCGGUCGAUCGAUCGAUUGGUGGCUUUGGCACUGACACACAAAAACUGUCGAGAAUUAUGGUACCCCUCGAUGGAUUUAAAUUAAUUGCACACAAGCACGCGUCGGCGAGCAAUUGACCAGAGCAUCCGAGUUCGUUUCAAUUCAAUCAACAUCAACGGAGAAGAUAACGCGACACGACAGACGAAAGACGAAAAACGCCACUUACACAGAACAAACAAUUCGAUGGAAAAAAAAAAAAAUGGUGAGGAACACACAAUUCUGUUCAGUCCGAACCGUGGAAAUGUGUUGCCCUGGACUUCGAAAAACGCCGCUUGUUUUUUUUUUUUUGGGACACGUCCAGUUGGCUGCGUUUGGCGAACAGAACUAAAACACGGCUCAGUCCAUCGUCGUUUUUAAAAAGGAAAACGGCCCAAACGGCGGCGACGUCGACGGCGCUGCCAUCGCCGGCUAAACAAUGCAAACUUUUAGCCCGAGAGAAGUCCAAAAGCAAAGCGCCAAGCCAGCAAAGCAGCAAAGUCAAGCAAAGCAAAGCAAAAGCAGAGCAAGAGCAAAAGCAAAAGCAAAAGCAGUCAAGCAGGCCGAGCAGUCGAGCAAAAGCAGCCAAGAGCGAGUGCUCUUUGUUGCCGAGAUGCUCAGUCAAGAACAAACGUCGGGAACAUGACCCUUCCAUCCCGAUGCCGAUGACCAUGCCAAUACUGAUUCCGAUUUGAAAUUCCAAUCCCAAAGUGCCAAAAAUAGUAUGUGUGCAGGUGGAACAAAGGACUGAUUAAUCGGUGAUCCCCAAUCCUCAGCGGCCGUGCCUCCUUUUUUUUCCCCCCACCCCGCUGGCGGUGCAUUUGAACUGAUCGCAGGUGCUCUCCGUUUGUCAUCUCGUCCAAUGGGAGGAUCUUGAGGAAAGUACAUGCAUCUAACAGGAAAUCACAUAACACGGGGCGCACUUAGUACCUCAAGACCACUAAUCAACUGAUCAUCAAUACUGGCGACUUGCAGUGAAACAGAAUUGAACUAUUCUCAUCUCGAAUAGAUCCAUUCUGGCUGGCCAUAGUCACGGCCAUUCGGCUGAUCAUCUUGAGCUGCAUGCUUGAUGAUCAUGAUCAUCAUGAUCACGCUACCCUUGAUCCCGCCUCGUUUUUUUUUUUUUUGUGAUUUGUUUACGCUGUUCUCUCGAGAUUUAGCGAAAACAACAAGCGAUUCACCAGCAGCGCAGAGAAAACCAGUUGUCCGCUAUGGAAAAUCCACGCAUAAUACAACGUCGAGACUACUUGGAUGUGGAUUCCCCCAUUCUGUCAAUUCCUCUCUGUGAUGUCAACUUAGCCCAUCGCCUCGCCUGAGUUCUGCCGCCAGUUCCGAGCAUGCCGAUGAUGAGUGGUGUGCCUUGUCUGUGCCAUGUUCCGCCGACGAACCCUUGACUGACCCCUCCGAUUUGAGUUAAGUUAACCCACUCAAGUCACUCAUAUUGUACUAGCCUCACUAUGUAUAAACAAUUUAAUAUUAUGUUUGUGUUUAUUAAUAAAU